UACAGAGGGUGCGAGCGUUAAUCGGAAUCAUUGGGCGUAAAGCGCGCGUAGGCGGCCCUGUAAGUCCGUUGUGAAAGUCAAAGGCUCAACCUUUGAAAGCCGAUGGAUACUGCAGGGCUAGAGUCCGGAAGAGGCGAGUGGAAUUCCUGGUGUAGCGGUGGAAUGCGCAGAUAUCAGGAGGAACACCAAUAGCGAAGGCAGCUCGCUGGGACGGUACUGACGCUAAGGCGCGAAAGCGUGGGGAGCGAACAGG
rnacentral:rRNA from 1 species